GGGUGACUUUUGAGAUUGUGAUA
rnacentral:siRNA from 1 species